rnacentral:rRNA from 1 species
UACGUAGGGUGCGAGCGUUAAUCGGAAUUACUGGGCGUAAAGCGUGCGCAGGCGGUUUGAUAAGUCCGAUGUGAAAGCCCCGGGCUUAACCUGGGAACGGCGUUGGAAACUCUCAAGCUUGAGUGUGGCAGAGGGGGGUGGAAUUCCACGUGUAGCAGUGAAAUGCGUAGAGAUGUGGAGGAACACCGAUGGCGAAGGCAGCCCCCUGGGCUAACACUGACGCUCAGGCACGAAAGCGUGGGGAGCAAACAGG